CUUAACUUCUCUUUGUGAUAUUAUAAAGAAAUGGGAACCUAGGCAUUUUAAAGGCCAUCUUUAUGGUGUUUACAAUGAUUAUUAUUAGAAGAGAGGUAGAAAUAUAUGACUCUGCUUCCCAUGAAUUCCUGGAGUAAUUCCUGGAAAUUUUGCUUUUCUUUUACUUCUACAUACAUGUCAAAUUAUUAUUUAUACUUUUUUUUAAAAAAAGAAAUGAGAGUUAAUGUUUGAGUUUUAGUUCUUGCAUGUAUAAGAUAUUUUUUUCUCCCUUCACAUAUGAGUCAAGUAAUAGAAAUCAAGCACAGUAAGCAGACAGUAUUUUGCAAAUGCAAGUUCCCUCCUGGGGGAGCCAGUUCAAGGAGAGACAGAAUACCUAGGUGGGAAUUUGGAGACUUUUCAGUUAGUAAUCUGAAAGUCUGUUCUGUGACUUUGAGGAAGUGAAAAGUUUUAUUACUUGUUCUGUUUUGUACAAUUCACAUUUGUUCCUUUGAGUCAUGAAAGAUGGAGUUCAAGAAACUGUAUGCUCUUUCCUCUAAUGAGUUGCAUAACCAUGUUAAUUGAAGGUGGCAAAGCAUUAACUCCAUUUUUGACAUUUUUGCAGCUGUGUUGAACUUUUUUUCAGACCACAUAUUUAUUUUUAAUUAACUAUUUUGCAGGGUUCAUAUGUGCAUUGAUAGAGGGUACUGACUAAAACAAUGUAGAAAUGCAUUCUUGCCAAAUUUCAAUAACAGAUUCUCUAAUUGUUUUUGGUAAUAGGAAUUUUUAUUCAUGCAGAACUAAAUAAUGUGACAGCUGUGAGACCUUAGUCAUGGGAAUGUCUAUUUCUUUGCCUGUUGAAACAAUUUCCAUGACAGGAAGUAUUGAGAUUAUGCCCUUGAUUUCUGAGGACAGGUUAUGAGGAAGCUUGUUGGAAGAAGAAAAAAUUAUCUUUCUGGAGACUUAAAGCCACUCAAAAUAACAUAUUCCAGAGGAGUACCAUUCAGAGACGUUUUGCAUUAAAUGGACUAGAAAGAUAAGAAAACUGAGGUAGAGGCAGACUGAAUGGUAAGCUUGGGCUCACAAUGUUAAUAAGUAGCAUGUCCAGGCAUUGGAUUAUUGUCUUUGGGCUUUUAAUUUGUUUUUUGGGUUUUUUUUCCCCAUUAAGUUUAUUGGUACAUUUUAGGUAUAAAAUACAGUUACAUACAUCAUUAGGAUCUUGUACCAUUACAUGAGUAUCUUGGUUCUUGUUUUUUUCCCCUUCUCCUGCCCUCCCUUCACCCCCUCCACCCUUUCCUAUUUGCAAAGAUUUUGUUUCCAUUUUUUUCCUUUUCUCAUAUUUUUUCUUUUCCCUUCUUUUCUUUCCCCUACCCCUCCCACUUCCCCUGCUCCUUUAGAUCUUUACAUCCUACUACACAAUAUCAAUUAUACAUUUUUUAAAUUAUAAUAUCAAGAUCUAGGAGACAUCACCACAGAUUUUACAGCAUUUAAAAGAAUAUAGAAAGCUUAUUACAAAAAUCUGUUUUGAAAUAAAUUUGACAACUUCUAAGAAGUACCUUGGAAGACAAAUUAAUGAAACUAACUCUGGAGGAAAUAUAAAAUUUGAAUAGCACCUAUUAAAGAAAGUAUAUUCCUAGCUUGAAAACCUUCCUAUAUGGCAACAACAGGCUCAUAUACAUUUUAACUGAUAAAUUAUAUCAAACAUUUAAAGCAGAAAAAAAGAAGAAACACUUCUCCCCUCAUUUUAGGAACUCAACAUUGUGCUAAUCCGAAAACUGGAUAAAGAUAAUAGAAGAAAAAUGUAUGAACAUAGAUAGAAAUUUGUUUAACAAAACAAACUCUUAGAAGUCAGAUCUGGCAGGAUGUAGAAAGUGGUUUUAUUAUAGGGAUGGCAGUGUUGGUUCAGCAUUGGAAGAUCCACCCCCAAAAGUCAUCAUUGUAACAGAGGAAAGGAAAAAAACCAUAUGAUCCUGUCACUAGUUGGAGAAAAAGUAUUGGACUAAAUUCCACAGCUGUUCAUGGUAAAAGCUAUCAGGAGACUAGAAGUAGAACAGAACCUUCUCAACAGAUCAGAGCCAUGUACUCCAUACUUCCAG
rnacentral:lncRNA from 1 species